rnacentral:rRNA from 1 species
CCUACGGGAGGCAGCAGUGAGGAAUAUUGGUCAAUGGACGAGAGUCUGAACCAGCCAAGUAGCGUGAAGGCUGACUGCCCUAUGGGUUGUAAACUUCUUUUAUAAAGGCAUAAAACGAGGCAAGUGUGCCUUUUUGCAUGUACUUUAUGAAUAAGGAUCGGCUAACUCAGUGCCAGCAGCCGCGGUAAUACGGAGGAUCCGAGCGUUAUCCGGAUUUAUUGGGUUUAAAGGGAGCGUAGAUGGGUUGUUAAGUCAGUUGUGAAAGUUUGCGGCUCAACCGUAAAAUUGCAAUUGAUACUGGCAGUCUAGAGUACAGUUGAGGUAGGCGGAAUGCGUGGUGUAGCGGUGAAAUGCUUAGAUAUCACGAAGAACCCCGAUUGCGAAGGCAGCUUACUAAACUGUGACUGACAUUGAUGCUCGAAAGUGUGGGUAUCAAACAGGAUUAGAUACCCGGGUAGUC